UGCGUAGGCGGUUUAGUAAGUCAGAUGUGAAAGCCCUGGGCUUAACCUGGGAACUGCAUUUGAAACUGCUGAACUAGAGUGUGGUAGAGGGAAGUGGAAUUCCGGGUGUAGCGGUGAAAUGCGUAGAUAUCCGGAGGAACACCAGUGGCGAAGGCGACUUCCUGGACCAACACUGACGCUGAGGUACGAAAGCGUGGGUAGCAAACA
rnacentral:rRNA from 1 species